rnacentral:lncRNA from 1 species
CCAAAUAAACAACGUUAAUAACAAUUUUACAAUAGAAAAAUUAAAAAUUGAUAAAUGGCAGUUGUAAUUUAUGUAUGCGUAAAGAUAGCUUCACAUCCAGGGUCCUCCCAUAAACAUGCUUGUAACAAGAAUUAGUUUGCCUCAACUGCUAGCAACUAUACAAUAGUAAAAAUCACUCUUAUGAACUCAACAAUACUAGGCACCAAUAAGAGUAUGAUACAGCCAUUCUAAAUGGAAGAGAAUACAACUGUUUUACAACUAUGUUGCAUCAGGAGAUAUGUUAGGAGGAUUAAUCCAGAUACCUUCCAACCCAAUUAGGAAAACUCAAGGUCAGAAACCAGGAGCUGCAACCAAACCUUACAAUCUUGAAG